rnacentral:rRNA from 1 species
GUGGUAAUGCCGGAUGCUCCGGUUGGAUGCAUGUCCUUCCGGGAAAGGUUCCAUCGGUAUGGGAUGGGGUCGCGUCCUAUCAGCUUGAUGGCGGGGUAACGGCCCACCAUGGCUUCGACGGGUAGCCGGCCUGAGAGGGCGACCGGCCACAUUGGGACUGAGAUACGGCCCAGACUCCUACGGGAGGCAGCAGUGGGGAAUAUUGCACAAUGGGCGCAAGCCUGAUGCAGCGACGCCGCGUGCGGGAUGGAGGCCUUCGGGUUGUAAACCGCUUUUGAUCGGGAGCAAGCCCUUCGGGGUGAGUGUACCUUUCGAAUAAGCACCGGCUAACUACGUGCCAGCAGCCGCGGUAAUACGUAGGGUGCAAGCGUUAUCCGGAAUUAUUGGGCGUAAAGGGCUCGUAGGCGGUUCGUCGCGUCCGGUGUGAAAGCCCAUCGCUUAACGGUGGGUCUGCGCCGGGUACGGGCGGGCUGGAGUGCGGUAGGGGAGACUGGAAUUCCCGGUGUAACGGUGGAAUGUGUAGAUAUCGGGAAGAACACCA